rnacentral:rRNA from 1 species
GAUGAACGCUGGCGGCGUGCCUAAUACAUGCAAGUCGAGCGAACGGACUAGAAGCUUGCUUCUCUGAUGUUAGCGGCGGACGGGUGAGUAACACGUGGAUACCCUACCUAUAUGACUGGGAUACCUUCGGGAAACCGUAGCUAAUACCGGAUAAUAUUUUGAACCGCAUGGUUCAAAAGUGAAAGACGGUCUUGCUGUCACUUAUAGAUGGAUCCCCGCUGCAUUAGCUAGUUGGUAAGGUAACGGUUUACCAAGGCCACGAUGGAUAGCCGACCGGAGAGGCGGGUAGGCGACCCUGGAAGGGAGACGGGGACAAGAGGACUAAGGGAGGGAGCAGAAGGGAAUGUGAGGCAAUGGGGGAAAGCAUGACGGAGCAAGGGCGCGUGAGAGAUGAAGGUGUUGGGUGCGGAAAACCCGGUUAUGAGGGAAGAACAUAUGUGGAAGGAAAUGUGGAGAUAGUGACGGUACCUAAUCAGAAAGCCACGGCUAACUACGUG